rnacentral:rRNA from 1 species
AGAGUUGUAUCCUGGCUCAGGAUGAACGCUGGCGGUAUGCCUAACACAUGCAAGUCGUACGAGAGUUUUUAACUCAAGUGGCGGACGGGUGAGUAACACGUGAGAAUUUGCCUUUAGGAGGGGGAUAACAGAGUGAAAACGCUGCUAAUACCCCAUAUGCUUUCGAGUGAAAUGGAUUUAUUCGCCUAAAGAGAAGCUCGCGGCUGAUUAGCUUGUUGGUAAGGUAAUGGCUUACCAAGGCGACGAUCAGUAUCUGGUUUGAGAGGACGAUCAGACACACUGGAACUGAGACACGGUCCAGACUCCUACGGGAGGCAGCAGUGGGGAAUUUUCCGCAAUGGGCGAAAGCCUGACGGAGCAAUACCGCGUGAGGGAAGACGGCCUAUGGGUUGUAAACCUCUUUUCUCAGGGAGGAACUCAAUGACGUUACCUGAGGAAUAAGCAUCGGCUAACUCCGUGCCAGCAGCCGCGGUAAGACGGAGGAUGCAAGUGUUAUCCGGAAUCACUGGGCGUAAAGCGUCUGUAGGUGGCUUAACAAGUCAACUGUUAAAUCUUGAAGCUCAACUUCGAAAUCGCAGUCGAAACUGUUAGGCUAGAGUAUAGUAGGGGUAAAGGGAAUUUCCAGUGGAGCGGUGAAAUGCGUAGAGAUUGGAAAGAACACCGAUGGCGAAGGCACUUUACUGGGCUAUUACUGACACUCAGAGA